GGAAGCGUGGCAGAGUGGUCGAUUGCACCGGUCUUGAAAACCGGCAACGGGUAACCCCGUUCGUGAGUUCGAAUCUCACCGCUUCCGCCA
rnacentral:tRNA from 2 species